rnacentral:rRNA from 1 species
UGACGCAGCCACGCCGCGUGGAGGAAGACGGCCCUACGGGUUGUAAACUCCUUUUCUGGCCGAAGAACCCGGACCCUGCGGGGUCCGCUGACGGUAGGUCAGGAAUAAGCACCGGCUAACUCCGUGCCAGCAGCCGCGGUAAUACGGAGGGUGCAAGCGUUGUCCGGAAUCAUUGGGUGUAAAGGGUACGCAGGCGGGCGUCUGCGUCCGGGGUGAAAUCCUGCCGCUUAACGGUAGAAGGGCCUCGGAUACGGGACGUCUUGAGACCAGCAGAGGCUGGCGGAAUUCGUGGUGUAGCGGUGAAAUGCAUAGAUAUCACGAAGAACACCAGUGGCGAAAGCGGCCGGCUGGGCUGGAUCUGACGCUGAGGUACGAAAGCGUGGGGAGCGAACAGGAUUAGAUACCCUGGUAGUCCACGCUGUAAACGAUGCACACUAGGUGUUGGCCCUUCGGGGUCGGUGCCGCAGCUAACGCAGUAAGUGUGCCACCUGGGGAGUACGUUCGCAAGAAUGAAACUC